rnacentral:lncRNA from 1 species
UCAAGCUUAUAGUAACAAAACUCUGGGCUCAUCCCUCACAGCGGGAGACAGUGAAUCUUGGGCAUCAGAGUCUGGCGAAUUCGCUUUUGGAUUCCAAGAGAUUGGAACUGGGGGUUACUUGCUGGCUGUUUGGUUCAACAAGAUAUCUGAAAAGACCGUAGUUUGGUCAGCCAAUGGGGGUAAUCUAGUGAAAAAGGGAUCCAAAGUUCAACUUACUAGUGAUGGAAAUUUUGUGCUGAAUGAUCAGGAAGGUGAAAAGAUAUGGCCGGUUGAUUCUACGAUUACUGGUGUGGCCUAUGCAGCCAUGCUCGACAGUGGAAACUUCGUGCUGGUA